UGCUUCGACCCAGGCAGAGGAGAGC
rnacentral:piRNA from 1 species